rnacentral:rRNA from 1 species
GAUGAACGCUAGCGGCAGGCCUAACACAUGCAAGUCGAGGGAGAGGUUACCUUCGGGUAACCAAAACCGGCUCACGGGUGCGUAACGCGUAUACAAUCUGCCUUUCACAUAGGGAUAGCCCGAAGAAAUUUGGAUUAAUACCUAAUGGUAUAUAAGAGCGGCAUCGUUUUUAUAUUAAAGCUACGUUGGUGAAAGAUGAGUAUGCGUUCUAUUAGCUAGUUGGAGAGGUAACGGCUCCCCAAGGCGACGAUAGAUAGGGGUUCUGAGAGGGAUGUCCCCCACACGGGGACUGAGAUAAGGACCAGACUCCUACGGGAGGCAGCAGUGAGGAAUAUUGGACAAUGGUCGGAAGACUGAUCCAGCCAUGCCGCGUGUAGGAUGAAGGUCCUAUGGAUUGUAAACUGCUUUUGGAAGGGAAGAAUAAGGAGUACGUGUACUUUGAUGACGGUACCUUACGAAUAAGCAUCGGCUAACUCCGUG